AGGCUUCACAUGAGUUGCUAAAUUGAGAAGUAAGUAUGGUAUCACCAUUGGAAGUAAAAAAUAACUCAUUUUGUAUUUCAAUACUCAAAUUUGAGUCUCACCAUUGGAGAUGGUCUAAUAUAUCAUAUGGAACAACAUUCUUAGUUUAUGAUUACUUAAGAGCCUCUCCGACUAGAGACUACUUAAGAGCCUCUCCAAUGUAGCGGCAAAGGCUGCUGUUGCUUUGGAUGGGGGCAUAGAAGAAGUCAUUCGAAGGAAAGUGUUUCAAUUGAGGCAAAAAUUAAGAAAUUUGAUGAGGAAUUAAUGGGAAAAGCUAAGAAAAAGCCCCCAAAUUUGGCGUUAGAAAGAAGCUCCUCACUUCCAAAACCCUCGAACAAUACUAAUUCUCUCUCUUCCUCUCUAUUUCUUUCUUUAUAUUAUACUCUGCAGGAUACUUUUUUCCUUCCAUUUUCUGCAUGAUGUGGGCUUGCAAAUCUGAAUGUCGAAUCAAAGAAGUUUAAGUUGUACUGAUUUUGAGUUCUCUAGAUUGGUGGAAUCCUGAUUGACUUUAUCUUGUAAAUAAUGUGUUCUCUAUUCAACUCCAUUCAAAUCAAAGCCUCCAAGGAAAGUAUACACUCUUGUUUUCUUGCCUCUAUUUCGCUCAAAAGUCCAAAACCUUCGUCUUCAUCAGCUUUAAAGGCACUGCUGGUUGAGAAAAAUGUGAAAAUCUAGAAGGUACAAGGCCAUGGGCAUUAGGAAGAACACUGCAUAUAAGCUAUAUUGCACAAAACAAAGUUCUGCUAUACAAUUCAAUGCCAACCUUCCCCGAUUUAGCAAGUCACAAAGGUUGGCAUAGUCUUUCUUUUUUCUUAUCAAUCACAAAGGCAGGGCUGCGACUACUUAAGAGCCUCUCCGAUCAGAAUGUAGCGGAGGAGGCUUCUGUUGAUUUGAAUGGGGGGCAUAGAAGAAGUCAUUUCGAGGAAAAUGUUUCAAUUGAUUAAGAAAUGUGAUGACUUAUUAAUGGGAAAAGCUAAAAAAAAGCCUCAAAUUUGGCGUCUGGAAGAAGCUUUUCACUUCCAAAACUCUCAAACAAUGUCUCGGGAGAUGAUAGCAAAUAAGCACCAUACAAAGAAAGCUGAUGUUAUUGUUUUGGCAUCGUCUUGUGGGAGAUCUUGACCGUAUUGAUGCCCUGCGUUGUAUUUAAGAUUGAUGAGAAGAAGAAAGAGCUUGUAGAUGAGAAGAUUGGCAAUUCAGCCGAAAGCUAUGAUGAUUUUUGGCUGCCUUACUGGAAAGUGACUGUGGAUAUGCAUCUCUGUCUAUGAUUUUGACAUCUGGAUGAGAAGAUUGGCAAUUCAGCCGAAAGCUAUGAUGAUUUUUGGCUGCCUUACUGGAAAGUGACUGUGGAUAUGCAUCUCUGUCUAUGAUUUUGACAUCUGAAUACUUUGAAACAGGAAAAGCAACGGCCAAAGGGGAUGUUUAUAGCUUCGACGUCGUGAUGUUGGUGCUUUUGACUGGAAAAAAAGCCCUUGAGGAGGGAACAAGGCUGGUCACCUGGGUGCCCUUUUGCGUAGGCUUCACCGAAUUGGUACUAUCCUGACCUUAUUCAAUACAUUAGUGUCAGGUUCUAUAUUAUUUGUCCCUGCACAAAGAGCUUCUACCUGCAUUACUUCGGCCAGGUUUGCUUUUGAACUUCUUAGCCUAUUUAGAAUGUGUUUCUUUAGCCCUUCUAUAGCACAUGCACAAGUUUACUAUAAUUAUUUUAAACUCUUGCAUAAUGUCUACGGGUUAAUUAAUUAUUUGACGAUGGAAAUGUUAUGAUUUAAACUCAGUUUUUUGAGAAUGGGUACCGUAAAGCAUCAGCAGAUGGAUAUUUUUUUUAUACUGAUCUUUUUCAUUUCAAUAAAGCAGAUUGCUUUUAACUUUGUUUUUCCUCUUAAUUGAUUUGAAUAAUUUGAAACUCGGAUGGUUGGACAGCUGGAGAGGACCUUUAAUUUUGAUGGGAGAAGAGGUGAUUUUAAAUAAGCAACUUGCUCCUUGUAUAUUAUGGUGUUUUAAUCUUAUACUAACAACUUGCUCCUUGUGUAUUAUGGUGUUUAUUCUAUACUAAACAACUUGCUCCUUUCAAAGUUACCUCUCAGACAUAUUUCUGUGUAUGAUUCAAAAAAGCCUGUGUUGAGCAGAGUGUUGAGCAAGUUUUAUAAAUUCUAUGUAUGCCACAUAAUCCGAGCAGAGUGUUGAGCAAGUUUUACAAUAUACUUCUAUGUAUGCCACAUAAUCCGAGCAGAGUGUUGAGCAAGUUUUAUAAAUUCGCAGAAGAAUUUAUAUGAAAGCUUCAUUAGCUAUCAUUGAGUUGUAAUAUUCAUGUAGAUUGUGGUUUCUGCUUUAUUGCAUUGAUCUUGAACAUACAUUAUUUUUCUUGUUCACUAGGCCUUGUAGAUUUCUGAUUUUUGUGGCUUGUUUUCGUUGUAAAUUUACAAUGCUUUAUUUAUUAUUAUAACUGUCUUGAUAGAUAAUGUCCAGCUUGCUUUGGGUAAGUUGAUGCAAUAAACUAUUAAAUUUUGUCUUCAAAUAUGUUAUUCGAGUAGCAUUCAUACUGUGAUUUUACUUAUUACUCUUGAACUUGCAGGUCCUAGGAGACAUCACAAUUCUUGAGAUUACCAGGAAUUACGUGGGUGAGGUAUUUGGAAUGCAUAGUCGUGGUCUUCCUAAGCGCUAAUUUCCCUGCUUCCAAUCUCGAAGUUUAAAUGCCGUUUCUUAAGAAGAAGGUGCCGAACUAAAUGGUAAUAAUGCAGUAUCUUGUAUACUCAAGUUUCAUUUUUGUUUUUUUUAGUUAUUAAUUUGCUGUAAUUGUUCUCUGGGGCGCAAUAUGCUGUCAAGUUAUUUUGAUGAACUGUAAUGCCAUCUUCCACUGCUAAUCUACUUUGUCUGAAAAUUAUUCAGCAUUAUCUG